GAAAUAUAUAGGAGGAAAACCCAAGGGGGGACCAAGGAGACUGCAGACUGGACACAGAAAAAAAAAAAAAAAAAAAAAAAAAAAGUAUUUAUGCAUGUGUUUAUUUAUUGAAAAAUAUAGGAGGGAAAAACCCAAGGGGACAAGAGGACUGAAAAAAAAAAAAAAAAAAAAAAAAAAAAGUAUUCAUGCAUGUGUUUAUUUAUUGAAAUAUAUAGGAGGGAAAACCCAAGGGGGGACCAAGAGGGACUGCAGAUGGACACAGAAAAAAAAAAAAAAAAAAAAAAAAAAAAAAAAAAAAAAAAAAAAAAAAAAAAAAAAAAAAAAAAAAAAAAAAAAAAAAAAAAAAAAAAAAAAAAAAAAAAAAAAAAAAAAAAAAAAAAAAAAAAAAAAAAAAAAAAAAAAAAAAAAAAAAAAAAAAAAAAAAAAAAAAAAAAAAAAAAAAAAAAAAAAAAAAAAAAAAAAAAAAGUAUUCAUGCAUGUGUUUAUGUAUUGAAAUGUAGAUACUUUUAUGAGGAAUGUGUCCGUGUACUUACAUUUUUCAAAAGAUAAUCUUCAAUGGUAAGACUUGUUUUAUUCGCGCCUCUUCUGGUGUAGCAUAUAACGUGAGUUUUAUUUAGGCAUAUCAGAUGCAUAGCGUGUGUAAUGUGUAGGCCAUUUCAUUCCGUUCUUGCAAUGUGAAUAAUUCAUUUCAAUAUGCUUAUAUCCCUUUUGUGCGCGCUUGUGCGUUUAACGGGGCUUGUUUGUGUGAGCCAGUGCAUUUAUCAUUCAUCUGUUGAUGCUCGAGUUUAAUAAAGGCAGGCUAUUCUUAAGAAACGUAUGUAAA
rnacentral:lncRNA from 1 species